rnacentral:rRNA from 1 species
GGAGUUUGGGCCGUGUCUCAGUCCCAAUGUGGCCGAUCACCCUCUCAGGUCGGCUACUGAUCGUCGCCUUGGUGGGCCGUUACCUCACCAACUAGCUAAUCAGACGCGGGUCCAUCCUGUACCACCGGAAUUUUUCACACAAGACCAUGCGAUCUCGUGCGCUUAUGCGGUAUUAGCAGUCGUUUCCAACUGUUGUCCCCCGGUACAGGGCAGGUUACCCACGCGUUACUCACCCGUCCGCCACUCGGUAAAGCUCCCGAAGGAUCCUUACCUCGUUCGACUUGCAUGUGUUAGGCACGCCGCCAGCGUUCAUC